rnacentral:rRNA from 1 species
UACGGAGGGUGCAAGCGUUAAUCGGAAUUACUGGGCGUAAAGCGCGCGUAGGCGGUUUUUUAAGUCGGAUGUGAAAGCCCCGGGCUCAACCUGGGAACUGCAUCCGAUACUGGAAGACUAGAAUGCGGGAGAGGGAGGUAGAAUUCCAUGUGUAGCAGUGAAAUACGUAGAUAUAUGGAGGAAUACCAGUGGCGAAGGCGGCCUCCUGGCUCGACAUUGACGCUGAGGUGCGAAAGCGUGGGGAGCAAACGGG